GUGGGCUCUGGGGAUAGAGAGGCCAGUGUGGCUGGGGAGUAAGGAGCAUGAACUGAAAGGAACUGAGCCUGUCACGUAGAUGGGCCAAGAAUGCUGCAGAAGCUCUGGCUCACUCCUGGUGACAAGCUUUGGAAGAGCAGACACUACUUGGUCCUUCCCCAAGCUGUGAACAAAAUAAUACAAACUCCUCUUCUGGGAUUGAACUCUUGCUGUAUGCCAGGCCCCAAUUUCUUGGCAGAGAAUCUAGGGACUCUCACUGGCUCAAAGAAUGGUAGAUAUCAUUAACCCCAUUUUCCAGAGCAGCAAAAAUGAGAGAGAGAGACCCCAAGAAGCCACUGCUGGCCUUGAACUGAGCCAGAUCUCUUUGGUGCCAGACCCUGGCUGGCUCUGACCACAUUGUCCUAAAAUUCUUUGUUUACAGCUCUCUUUCCUCUGCUGCAGCCAGCCACUCGGUCUCAUUCAUGGUUUUAUUUUACUUUCAAGGUCCCUUGUGUCCAAACCUGCCCAAGGAGCAACGGAAUGAAUGAACCUUCUGGGGGCGGGCUCUCCCCUCCCGCCCGCCUCUCAGGCAUCUCCAGUUUGGAUCUGGAAUUGGGAGGGGGCUGGACAGGAAUUCCAAGCCUCCAGAGGGUCAGGAGUAGAGGGGAGGGGGAACCGGGAGAAAGCGAAAGUGAAGGGAGCUGGGAGCCCCUGUGUGGAGGCGCAGACAGGGAAGGAAAUCUCCCGGCCCGUUUCUGGACUAGAUUAGGUGCUGGGGAAACACAGUCCUUGGAGCUGGAAGAUGUCUUCCAGAAAACCAGUCAAGUGGAUGCUGCUUUGACCCCUUCUGGGAUUACACUGCGAAGCAGAUAUGCGUGACUCCGGGACCCCAGUGGCCACCAUCUGCUCAGUUAUUUCCCCCAGAUUCUCUACAGAGGAGAACGCCCAGACUUCAGU